rnacentral:rRNA from 1 species
UGGUUCGAUCAGUCGUUCGCCCCUAUACCCAAGACUGACGAUUNGAUUUGCACGAUCCGAACCGCNACNNACCUCCAGUUAGUUUCGGCUGGCUUCUGCUCUGCNCAGGCUUCGCNUCACCAUCUGGNNGGUCCCAGAGUGCNAUCUCUNCCUUCGCCNGUUAGAACGUGAUCUUAGGGACGAGGCGGUACUGCGCCUAGGNAUCGGUUAAGAUCCCGGGAUCGUACCUCGACUUAGUCGAACUAAGUCUUCGGUUUAAUUGCGGCNNUGGGUUUUCCGCCUAUUGCCUCGCUUGUAUGUUAGACUCCUUGG